rnacentral:lncRNA from 1 species
CACAGUUACAUUAAACCAUACAUUUAUAAAAACAUUAGCAGGUGUUCAAAAGGCCCUGUCUAUGACAUCACUUGCUGCUGCAGCCUGACACAGGUCAGAGUAUUUUGGCGGUUGCCAUCUUCAAACGGUCGUAUCUUAAAAACUAUAACUCCUACAGUGAAGAGCUUUAUGUUGUGAGAAUCACAAGACCCAGACCUACAUUUUGAUGCAUAGUAUGUCUCUGAAGUAUUAAAAUUGAAGGCACAGUCGCAGUUUAGAAAUUGCACUUCAAAUUUGAGCUUUGUGGAGUGAAGUUUCAAUGAAUGUCAAUGGACGGCGUUAGUUGCAAACAAAUGAUUAUAUUGUGAAAACUAUCAGGACUAUGGCUUAGCCGUUGACAUGUUUAGUGGCAGCAGGGAUAGCUGAACGUUUUGAUAUAAGAUUUGUGUAGGUGGGCCUGAAAAUAAGGGAGUGGUGGCAGUUUAGAAAUCAUGUCCUGA